CUGCUUUAACCCAUAGUGUACUGAUUUUAUAGUCCGACACUCAUAAGGCAAUUUAUUCCACCUAGUGUAAGUACAGUUCUAUGGUAAGGAACAGUUAGAAGUGAACUAUGUAGGGCUCCAUGUAUACACAGGUAUAUAGCUCCUAAAUGUAAUGUUGAGUGGAAAAGUUGCUAAAGGGUACACACACUAUGAUACUUUAUAUAUAAUGCCUGAAAACCUGCAAUAUCAUUGAUCACUCAGGGAUAUUUAUGUAUUUUAUCAAAGCAUGAAGACAUACCUGAAAAUGAUAAACAUAAAAUUCAGGAUGAUGGUUUUCAUUGGCAGUGGAUCAAAGAGGGAAGUGUAAUCACAGAAAGGUUACACAAGAGGCUUUAUAAAGUUUUACAUGUUUAGACUUGAUGGUAGAUACAUGGAUGUUCCUCGUAUUACUCUCUGGGCCUUUUUGCUCUUUUGAAUGUUUUCAUAAAGAAAGAAUAAACAAUAAGAAGGUUUAGUCUGGCAGGAGCAUAGGAUGUGAGGCGGCCAUUGGAAGAGGUAUGGUAGAGCGGGGCAGGGUCAGCUCAGAAGGACCGUGCAGUAGCUUUGCACCUGAAGAUCCCGAGAGGCCCCUGAGGAGGUUUAGCGGUGGUGUGGAGACUGUCUUGGAGGCGGGGUGACGAGUCAGAUGGAUGCUGCACGACUCAAGUGGGAGACAACAGUGAGUGGGCUACACUCGGAAUACAGAAGAAAGGACAGAGUGAAACUGUCAGCUCAUGUUGCCUCAGUGCUUCCUCCUUUCUUUCUCAGGCUCCUUUGCCAAGUGGCUUCUGGAGAACUUCCGCUAAUGGGAGGCACUGUGAGAGGAUGGAGCGGGGAACGAAGAAGCCUGGGUAUUCCUUCCUCUCCCCAUUUCUCUGCUUCCAGUGGCCUCUCCAACAGGGACUGUGCCUCCUUCACAUCCACCUCCCGUGAGACAGCUCCUCUGCCGGUGCAGCCAGUUCUCACCAGGGAGCCCUGGCUUCUGGGCACGGGUAAUAAGUUUGUCCCAUCAGCCUAGAGCAGGUGACAACUUCCAAUUGUUGCUGAUGCCUGGGUCACAUCAUUGACCCCUGCUCUGCAUCUCAGCUCUUCCAACACCCUGGUAGCUGGUUCUCUGUGUUAAAUCUCCCGUUGAUCUCUGUCUGGACCCUGACUGAGACAUACACUUUUUGGAUGCUUUAUAUUUUGUCUUCUGUGGGAAACAGAGGCAUGGUGGCUAAAUGAGCAGGGCUGUGGCCUCACAAGUACUAAGGCAGCUAGAGGCUACUAGAGGCACCUGAAGCUCUGACUGAGGUACUUUCUUCACAAAUGGUGGAAACUCCUGAGAAGACAUGGCUUCUUCCAUGGAUAUCAAUGACUGCCAUCAGGCCAGCCAGGCAGACUCAGUCAUCAAUUGGGCCCACCAUUAAAAUCAGCUUUCCUGUUUGAGGAGACGCUAAUUCUUCUUUGGAAGGACACAGCAGCAGUGGGGAAUCAGGUUCUGAAAUCUAGCCAUGCCACCAAUACCUGCAGAAACAUUCUGGAUGGAACAGGCUUGCCCAGACCCUCCUCUCCAGAAGGUAAAUUUCUAACCAGACCUGCUGCCAGAUGAACAAGUCCCCUGGGAAGGAAUCCCUUCUUCAGUCUUCAAGUCAAACUGCUUCUGUGCUAACCAAAGGCUAAGCCUGCCAGGGAGGGGGCAGUGCCACCUGCUUCCAAAGGCGCUGUGACAGCUCUUGUUUAUUGAAGAGGGCUGCCCAUCCCAGUGAAGUAAGAUAACCAGGAAUUUUAUUUCUGAGAGAGAGUAUCCUGGGCCUCCACAUCAAGGAGCAGGAAAGCUCAGCCUUGGCUUCUUGAGCUAUAUCCCAGGGAGCUGUAUCAGCAAAUGGACAGGUGGAACUCUGAUGCCUUCACCAAGAUGGUUGAACAAGAGAACAAGAUAGAGUUCUCAUCAGCUGAACAAAAGAAAUCAUGACAGAGACUAGAAGAUGUAAAGGCCUAGUUUCGGAGACAGAGACAAGUAAUUUCCCUGAAAUGUUAUUUGUGCCAUGUGGGUCACAGCUGAACUGCUGAGGGAAGCAUUUUCAGAACAUCACAGAGGGAAGAGUCAUGGGUCUAAACCUUUUAAAGACUACAUUUUUUAAAGGUCAACUGCUUUUUCCCUGGAGGGGAUCCUUGUAAUAGGUACUAUAGAGAAGGAUAAUUAAUAAUCAUGAUGUUGAGAAAGUGGCCUGAAAAAGAAAAAAAAAAAACUUGGAACCAGCUUCUCAUCGAAGAUGUGCCUCUCUCCCUCCCUGCAUUGCUGUGAUCUAGGGUUGCAGUGAUGCCCAGUUUUCCAGACCCUAGCUCUCACAGUCCGGACCAACUUGCAGCUGCAUUUCAGUAUCAAUCCAAUUUACAGAGCUGGAAUUACGUUGUAGCGGGGCCCACUAACAUGAACAUACAUUGUAAAUUCUUUUUCCUCCUAUUUGUAUUUUCAAUAUUCUUUGUUAAUUGUGAUAAUCCCUUAUGACAAAUGUGUGAUGUAUUUGCGUACCUCAGAUUGAGCAUAUGUCUGGUAUGAAACAAGUUGCCCCACAAAAAAUUGGGGAGAGGCCGGGCAUGGUGGCUCAUGCUUGUAAUCCCAGCACUUUGGGAGGCUGAGGCAGGUGGAUCACUGAGUCCGGGAGACCAGCCUGGGCAACGUGGCAAGACCCCAUCUCUACAAAAAAAUGCAAUACUUAGCUGGGCAUGGUUAGGCACACCUGUGAUCCCAGAUACUCAGGAGGCUGAGGUGGGAGGAUCAUUUGAGCCCAGGAGGUCAAGUUUGCAGUGAGCUGUGAUUGUGCCACUGCAUUCCAGCCUGGCAACAGAAUGAAACCCUGUCUCAAAACAACACAACCACACACACACACACACACACACAAAAUUGGGGUAAGAACAAAAAAUUGGGGGAAGAAAUUGGACAUAUGAGUUUUGAAGGCAUAACAUCUGCCUUCUCAUUGCUGAGACAAGUCAUCUAUUUUUAACUUCCAUUUUCACGUUAAGGAUUUCUCCCAGGCUAUCCUUCAAUCUCUACCAUCUCUGAAUUCCAAAGUUUUCUGUCCUUGCUCCUUGGGGUGUUCCGCAGCCUCCUGUCAGACUCUCCAAGGCUCCUUGUCUGCUGGGACUGUGCAUGCCCCACCGAGGCCACAUCCUACCAAUAUUGCAGCUUGGCUCCAGAAUGGAUUAGAUAAUUUUUGCUAAGCUCCUGCAGCUAGGUGUGUUUUUGUGAGGCUCACCCUAUUCUCAGAGUUGUGAAUCAUGACAGCUGACCCUUACUGAGCACGCAUAUAUGCUAGGCACGUGCUAUGCUUUUUAUGUGCAUCAUCUUGGUUAAUCCUAAUAAGAAGCUCAUCCUUCUCAUCAGCUCUGCUUUACAGAUGGGACACUAAGGAACAGAGAGGUUAAAUGACAUGCACACAGUUACAAAUCUAGUGGUAGUGCUGGAAUUUGAACCCAGUCAACCUGACUCCAGAAUCUGUGUUCUUGAUCAUGAUGCUAUUGAUGGGUUCCAGCUUUUAGCCCAUUUCCUGCAGGGUCCUUUGAGUUGCAGUUAAUUGGGUCAGGUGCAGCUGUACCAUGAGAUAAGAUAGGUGUUCAAUAAAUUCCACCCUAGAAUCAUUUGUUGAACAUUUACUGGGUACAAGACACUGUGCUCACUUGUAAACCUGGGGUGUGGGUUUUGGUGUGGAGAUGAAACAUGCUAUUUAGUCACUGAAAUGAUCAAGAAGGAAAUCCUUUUGUUUGUAAGAAUAGUAGAUCUGACCUGAGACAAAAUUGUGAUCUUUCUGUGUCUCAUUGUCUGGCCUUUCUCAAACCCUGACCCUGUCCUUUCUUCAACUUAGGAAGCCUCUUCUGCUUUUCCACCCAGGAUCUUCUCUCCAUGUUUCUGAACCCAGCGCUGCACUCAGAAACAGGGCAGGUGCCUCUCCGUGCAUCUGAAGGCUUUACCUUCAGACCGUCCAGGUGUGCAUACUUCAAUGUUUAUUUAGUUGCCUGCCUCUGGGGAGCAUCCCAGCCUCACUGAGCUUAUACCUUGGGACACCUUGGAAGGUGAAGGCAGCCGAGUCCUUAUCGUAGAGUAAAAUAAGACAAGAACUCUAAAGUGAGGAAAGGCCCCAAACUAAGCAACAAAAGGUGUUGUUUUCUUGAAAAUGAUGACGGAAAUAUUACAAAUAUUGAUUGGUUGCAGAGGUAAUACAUUUGUCAAAGCUCAUCAAAUUGUGCUAAGGAAUACCUUUGCAUUUGUCUGUGUAUAAAUUUUACCUAAAUAAAAGCUUUUUUUUCCUAAGAAAUAAAAAUGCCAUAGUGCUAAAAGGACACUAGUAAGCAGAGAGCCGUUUCCAAGUACAUCAUCUAAGAGCCAUUUGUUCAACAAAUAUUUAUUGAGCACCUGAUAAGUACCAGGGACUGUCCUAGAAUCCAUCAGCAAUGAGACAAAGGUCCCUGUCUCCAUGGAGCUUACAUGCUAGCAGGGCCCUUGAAAGUGGCAGGCAGAGGCGGGCGCUUUGGCUGAUUGUUUGCCCUGAUUGCUGAUCUCAAGAGGAGCAACUGGAAGCUCUAGUCUCAGAGGGGCUCAGUGAUUCAUGGAAAAGGGAGUUUCCUGAAUGUCAGGUCUAGGGUUAGGCUGCAGCCCAUGCUGAGGUCUGAAGGGAGUGGGUGGAUGAAUGGCAGAUAGCUGAAAGAACACUUAAGGAGCUGUAGGUAGGUGAGAUACAGCUUUAUUCAGCAGCUCUCUCAUCAGCAGCUCUCUUACACGGUCUGCUCUGUCUCAGCUGCUUGAUCUGGCUGCUCCCAUGCACAGCUGCGCUGCUGGCUUUCCCUUCAGGGUCAGCAGCUUAACUCUUUCUCUGUCUGGGCAUGAGCGGGCCUAUACAGUGUCAGCAGGGCAAUUAUACCUUUUACAGACAAUAGUGGCUUAGAGCCAAAUGAUGAGCCUUCCCAUGCUAUGGCUACAUGGAUGUGAUGACAAGUGGAGUAAUACACCUAUGCUCUAAACUUGCUGAAUCACUCUCGGUGUUUACCUGGGGCUAUCGCUGACCGAAGCAUAGCCAUGUUCCUUACACUGAAAAAGCCUCUGAAUGCCUAGGGGAAAAAAGUCCUUACAUGCUUGGGGGCUAGAGCCGCACUUUCCGGUGAGGCCCAGAAGAGUCUGCAAAUCUUCCAGCCCCAUCCCCAGUGUCUCUUUGUGGCUUGAGAGGGUGGCUCACCCACCGCCUUACCAUAUGAUCCAUGCCCUCUCCCCCCUAGCAAGGCACCUCCACCAGGGGCCCGGCUUCCUUCAGGCACAUGUGCCCACAGGGCAUGGGCUCUGGCAGAGGCCAGCAAACCUGGAGGCUGGAAGCUCAUUUUCUGAGCUCCAGGAAGGGCGGGGAGGUGUGGGUUCUUUUUGAAACCAGACCUAUGUGCUUAGAAACACCACAGAAGGGCUGGGCAGAGCCACUGGGGGUUGGAUGGGGUUGCUGUGAAUCAUAGGAACUCUAGGCUAGAAGAAGCCAUCUGAGAGGGGAGGUAGGUUCUUUUGAAGUCUCAAAAUCUUUAUUUAAAACAGAAUCCAAGAACCUUUGAUCAUGCAGCAAAGUUUAUGACAUUAUAUACGUAAUAAAGGACAAUGAAGCAACAUAUAAUCCUUGUUAAUUAAAAUGGUCUAAAUUACAUGUAAUCUCUGAAUUUACAAAGAUAGCACAAUGUAUGCAAUAAAUCCUAUUUCACAGUCUUUUUUUAGUAACAACAAG
rnacentral:lncRNA from 1 species